rnacentral:rRNA from 1 species
AUUGAACGCUGGCGGCGUGCUUAACACAUGCAAGUCGAGCGGUAACAGGUGUAGCAAUACAUGCUGACGAGCGGCGAACGGGUGAGUAAUGCUUCGGAAUCUUCCUCGUAGUGGGGAAUAACCUGGGGAAACUCAGGCUAAUACCGCAUACGAACUACGGUUGAAAGCAGGGGAUCGCAAGACCUUGCGCUAUGAGAUGAGCCGAAGUCGGAUUAGCUAGUUGGUGAGGUAAAGGCUCACCAAGGCGACGAUCCGUAGCUGGUCUGAGAGGACGACCAGCCACACUGGGACUGAGACACGGCCCAGACUCCUACGGGAGGCAGCAGUGGGGAAUAUUGGACAAUGGGGGCAACCCUGAUCCAGCAAUGCCGCGUGGAUAAAGAAGGUCUUCGGAUUGUAAAGUCCUUUCGGCGGGGACGAUGAUGACGGUACCCGCAGAAGAAGCCCCGGCUAACUUCGUGCCAGCAGCCGCGGUAAU